rnacentral:lncRNA from 1 species
CUCAGAGAGGUUAGGUAACUUGCCCCAGGUCACAGAGCUGGAAGGAGCAGAGCCAAUAUUCACACCCUGAUUUGCGUAAUUCCAGAUUUGAUCUUCUAGCUUCUAUGCUGUGCUGCCUCUUCAUGACAGUUUUUCUCAUGUACAGGAUCUGAUGCAGAAACUUAUCGGAGUUUCUUACCGGAGCACCAGUCACCUCUCAUCAUUUUCCUGUUUUGACGUGAAGGCUCAGUGAUAGUGAGCAGGCUCAGGGUCUACAGAGUUGGUGAUAUCAGCAUCACACAGGACAUUCAGAAUGUUGACUCCAGGGAUGUUGAGAGAUACUCCUGCACAAAGCUGCCAGCACCCGUGUCCAAGAAACACUCAGAAUCUAGGUCUCCUUGUAUAUUUUCCCCACUACCUGCAAAGGUAAAGAGGAACAGGCAGUGCUGGGACCGAGGGAGCGACAGUCCUAAUGGAAGCUAGUGUGUUGAGAGUCUCCUCUGUGUCAUGCUCUGAGCGACAUGUUUUAUAUGCACGAUCUCAUUUAGACCUUGUGACAGCAUGUUGUAGCAAGGACCCCAUCAUCACAGGGGGCAAAUGUCUGCAGUGCAGAAAGUCGUCCUGAAGAAAUGGAUGUCAGAUAAAAACAGUCUUCAUAAAUCAAUGAUCCUGUUUUACCUCAAAAGUGCAUGAAAUGGAAAUGGAAAUAUCUUGUGAAGAUGUAGACAAAUGACGGUCAUUGCCCAGAGCAGUAGUUACUGUCAGAAAAAGAGAUAAGGAUUUCCAGUCUGACAGACUGGAUUCCUGGCUCAACACCACCCCCUUCUAACCAUGUGACCUUGGGCAAAUUACCUAACCUUUUCUGAGUCUCAAUUUCCUCAUCUUCCAAAAGGGGAUAAUAUCAUAUAUGUUCCAAGAUUGCUGUGAGUAUUAAAUGAGAUGAUGUAUGUAAAGUACCUGGCCAGCAGUCUCUGGCACAUAGUAAGUAUUCAAUAAAGACUAAUGGUGGAGAUGAGUAUAGGGGCUACUAAUGCCCAUCCUUACUCCAGAGACUUCUUUCUGACCAUCAUGAGGCACUUUUGAAUAUCUAAACCCAUUUAAAGCCCACUUUUCUCUAUGGCUGGCCAUUUCUGCCUAUUGACAGCUAAUUUGCCUCAUCCUACAGGACACCUUCCAUGUUUCCCCAGACUCCAGAAAUCAGGUAUUAAAUUAUCAGGGCUUCAGGAGCCAUGGUCUAUGAUGAGUUUACUACCUGUGCCCAAUAAAUGUUUAAGAAAUAAAUAAGAGCCAAUAUAACUAUAAAGACC